UGGUGCCUGGCCAGGGUGGGCGGUUUCAAUCAGUGGGCUUCCCCUAACAAUUCCAUAUAAUUAAACAUAAAUACCCAUAUUUUUAUUUAAAUAUUUUUUUUUCUUAUUACUAAGUCAUACAGGUUCAACCUAAAAGAGUUAGAAAAGACAAGAGAAGGAAAUUGAAAGUCUGAUUAAAGAAACAACUAGUCACCGUACCCACUCAGGCAUUUUUGUUUUUAUUAAUUUACAAAAGACCUACUCUGUGCCAGGUGUGGCACAAAAGUGCAUAAGACCAGCUCUUGCUGCUGGGGAUUUCAUAGUCUAGCAACCAGACAUGCAAACAGAUAAACUGGAAGACACUUUUCCACAGCUGUCUGAAUGGCACUUUUGAAAAAAGGAGGAACAGACUGCCUGCAAAAGUAAGCUAAGGCAGAUUCUCUACCACCUGAGCCAGACAUAACAGCUUUUACUCCGAUUCUGCACCAAUUCUUGUAUGCUACAUUCACUUCUCUGUUUCCUCUACCUCAAAGAAGUUGUACUUGCAUCUAAAGGGCUUUAGACAAGCCAGGUGGGAUGUCAUCCUCGCCCACUGCACAGUCGAUUUGAGGGAAGAAGAGGAGGAGGAGCAGAGAAAAUGCCCAAGGAUACAUCAUGGGAUUGUGCAAAUUGACAUCUGAGGAUAUCAAAAGGAUGUCUGCCACCGGGAGACACAGAUGUCACAGCUGAGCACAGAUGAGGACUCUUUGGACUGGAAGAGAAAACAAUGGACGUGUGUUUGGUGUGGAACAGAGAUGCUCCAGGCCCUGUCCCUCCAAGGCACCUUCACUUCCAGCAUCAUCAGGAACACUGUAGUCCAACUGCUGCCAUUCUAGACCCGGGAAGUGAACAGACAACAGAGGGGAAAACCAGCAAGGACAGGAGGACGUAAUAAAUACGGCAGAGGCUGUGGGAAAGCCUACGGGACAAGCAGCCCAACCCAGACAAGGCAAGUGUCAAAGACCUUUAAGGAACAACUUGGGAAGGAAAAACAACACUUGUUCCACCAGUGAUACAAACAAGAAAUGUAUCCUCAGAACUAAUACAGGUAUUCAUGUGUGUUGUCUAAAAGGGUUGUCUUUUACAGUUGGUGGUGGUGGUUUACUCACUAAGUCAUAACCAACUCUUGCGAACCCAUGGACUAUAGCCCUCCAGGUUUCUC